CUUUGAGUGUGUACACAAGAUCUCGUGUAUUUCUCAUUACAAAAUAUACGCAGAGAACUCACACUGUUCACUAUCAUUUCAUUUCCAUAAGGGAGGAUGAGUAGCAUUUUGGUACAUAUUUGUUACUUCUUUAGCAGCCAUCUUUCCUGUGAUUUAUUGUGUUUUAACAAUCAAGAGCACUUCAAGAGCUUUGUUAUUACAAAACACAUUAGGUCUUUUUCAUAAUUCAUGUUCUUUCUAUGCUGUCUUACCAUGAGCAAUUCAGAAACUUCUCCAUAAGUUACUUAUUGCCUUCCUCACUGCUUCAAACCAGAUAAUUUCUACACUUUCUUGAGAAAGAUUACAACCUCUUCUUUUUCUCUUGUUCUAUUUUUUUUCCCUUUGAUAUAAGAGUUCUCUUGACACUUUGAUGAAAAAGUACCACCCUAGCUGUCCCAGUCCUGGUUCGUUGAGGGGUGUAGCUUGCGUAAAUAAAAUGGCAGUAGGCCAGCUUAACCUCAGAGAAGAAAGAUUGUUAGCAGUGUCCUUGAAGCUGGAGCUGGAGAGCGGUGAUUCUGCUAAACAGGUUGUGCUCACACUCGGAUGGAAGAAACCUUGUGAACAAGCUCACAUGAAGGGAGGAAAAUGACAGCAACAUGCACUCUUAGAAUCAUAGAAUCACCAAGGUUGAAAAAGACCUCCAAGAUCAUCCAGUCCAACUGCCCACCUAUUACCAAUAUUUCCCACUAACAGCAUCCCUCGGUACAACAUCUAAAUGUUUCUUGAACACCUCCGAGGACUGCAACUUCACCACCUCCCUGGACAGCCUGUUCCAGCGCCUGACCGCUCUCUCGAUGAAGAAGUUUUUCCUAAUAUCGCCUUCCUAACUUCCAACUUCACGUCUUAUUUUGCAACACGACGCCCUGCUCACGGGGAGGGCGGCGUCGGUGCCAGCCCAGGGAAGGCGACAUCAUUCCUUCAGGGGGGCCC
rnacentral:lncRNA from 1 species